GUGGACGCCAGUCUGCGUGGAGCCGACCUUGAAAUACCACCCUUUAAUGUUUGAUGUUCUAACGUGGACCCGUGAUCCGGGUUGCGGACAGUGUCUGGUGGGUAGUUUGACUGGGGCGGUCUCCUCCUAAAGAGUAACGGAGGAGCACGAAGGUUGGCUAAUCCUGGUCGGACAUCAGGAGGUUAGUGCAAUGGCAUAAGCCAGCUUGACUGCGAGCGUGACGGCGCGAGCAGGUGCGAAAGCAGGUCAUAGUGAUCCGGUGGUUCUGAAUGGAAGGGCCAUCGCUCAACGGAUAAAAGGUACUCCGGGGAUAACAGGCUGAUACCGCCCAAGAGUUCAUAUCGACGGCGGUGUUUGGCACCUCGAUGUCGGCUCAUCACAUCCUGGGGCUGAAGUAGGUCCCAAGGGUAUGGCUGUUCGCCAUUUAAAGUGGUACGCGAGCUGGGUUUAGAACGUCGUGAGACAGUUCGGUCCCUAUCUGCCGUGGGCGCUGGAGAACUGAGGGGGGCUGCUCCUAGUACGAGAGGACCGGAGUGGACGCAUCACUGGUGUUCGGGUUGUCAUGCCAAUGGCACUGCCCGGUAGCUAAAUGCGGAAGAGAUAAGUGCUGAAAGCAUCUAAGCACGAAACUUGCCCCGAGAUGAGUUCUCCCUGAGACUUUAGGUCUCCUGAAGGAACGUUGAAGACGACGACGUUGAUAGGCCGGGUGUGUAAGCGCAGCGAUGCGUUGAGCUAACCGGUACUAAUGAACCGUGAGGCUUAACCUUACA
rnacentral:rRNA from 1 species